AUUGAACGCUGGCGGCAGGCCUAACACAUGCAAGUCGAACGGUAACAGGAAGAAGCUUGCUUCUUUGCUGACGAGUGGCGGACGGGUGAGUAAUGUCUGGGAAACUGCCUGAUGGAGGGGGAUAACUACUGGAAGCGGUAGCUAAUACCGCAUAACGUCGCAAGACCAAAGAGGGGGACCUUCGGGCCUCUUGCCAUCGGAUGUGCCCAGAUGGGAUUAGCUAGUAGGUGGGGUAACGGCUCACCUAGGCGACGAUCCCUAGCUGGUCUGAGAGGAUGACCAGCCACACUGGAACUGAGACACGGUCCAGACUCCUACGGGAGGCAGCAGUGGGGAAUAUUGCACAAAGGGCGCAAGCCUGAUGCAGCCAUGCCGCGUGUAUGAAGAAGGCCUUCGGGUUGUAAAGUACUUUCAGCGGGGAGGAAGGGAGUAAAGUUAAUACCUUUGCUCAUUGACGUUACCCGCAGAAGAAGCACCGGCUAACUCCGUG
rnacentral:rRNA from 1 species